AUGAACGCUAGCGACAGGCCUAACACAUGCAAGUCGAGGGCAGCACAAGGAGCAAUCUGAGGUGGCGACCGGCGCACGGGUGAGUAACACGUAUGCAACCUGCCUGUAAGCGGGGAAUAACCCGUUGAAAGACGGACUAAUACCGCAUAAUACUAAAUUACUGCAUGGUAAUUAUUUAAACAUUUAUGGCUUACAGAUGGGCAUGCGCAUGAUUAGCUAGUUGGAGAGGUAACGGCUCCCCAAGGCAACGAUCAUUAGGGGUUCUGAGAGGAAGGUCCCCCACACUGGUACUGAGACACGGACCAGACUCCUACGGGAGGCAGCAGUGAGGAAUAUUGGUCAAUGGACGAGAGUCUGAACCAGCCAAGUCGCGUGCAGGAAGAAUGUCCUUAAUGGAUUGUAAACUGCUUUUGCAGGGGAAUAAAGUGCAUCACGUGUGAUGUUUUGUAUGUACUCUGCGAAUAAGGAUCGGCUAACUCCGUGCCAGCAGCAGC
rnacentral:rRNA from 1 species